rnacentral:lncRNA from 1 species
CUACAAGGUCCUGAAUUGUGAAUAAAAAUGGAAUCAUGUCCUUGUAAUUAAUGUGUAAUAAUAACUUUCCUGAUAUUAGAAAACACAGAAAGGAUAGAAAUGUUCUUACAUUAACUUAAAUACAUUGAUCUCCUAAUGAGGCCACAAUAUCUCAGCGUAUCAGGUUAAACAAGUUGACCUCUAAUGUGACUCUUACCUCUCCACAUCAGAACAAGACAGGCUGAACUGCAGGUGCACUCUGCACCAGAUGAUUAACGACAGGUUUUCAUUUCCCCUGGUUAAAAAUACAUUGAAGCAGGACUUCAAUUCCAGUAGGGACAGAGGGGAACAAAGCCACUCAGCAGUUCUGAGGCAGAACACCUGGAGACUGAGGUCGUUGACGCUCUGCCUGUAAAACUGAGCGGACGAGGGAUGAAUCUGUGAAACUCGACAUUAAACUGCUGCAUUUUAAAAUGAUUAUAUGUUUUUCUUCUUCUUCUUCUUCUUCUUCUUCUUCUUCUUCUUCUUCUUCUUCUUCUUCUUCUUCUUCUUCUUCUUCUUCUGUACACAAAUCAAAUGUGGACCACGUGUUACUAAAACCAGAUGUUUUAACCAAGUUUAAAUGUGAGUAAGGAGAGUUUUUUCCAUCGUCUCCUGGGAAAUGGAAGAUUUUUGUCUCAGACUAAAAGCGUCGCUGUGUAAUUCAAAGGUAGUUUCCUGACCUUUAUGACGAAUCCCAGACGGUCACAUGGCCACGUCUGUCACAAAACAUUGUUCCUCCAUCAUUGUUUGAGGUCUCAGAGACCCAAGUGCUGCAAAAUAUUUUCUAACCUGAAUAACAAUCAAUGUGUAGAUAAGUAUUAUUAAUAUGAAACAAUAGGGGUUGCACAUUUGAUGAAAAUAACAAAUAUAACCAAAAUGCAAUACACCAAAGAAGAAAAUUAUAAAGAAAUGUACAGUAGUGACGUACGUUUUGGGUCCCCAGAGAGGUCUCUCUAUCUAUAAGAGAAAUCACAGCACACUGAGCAGCACUAUCGUCCAAAACCCUUAUUUUAAAAAUUUUGGAGCAAACAUGCAUUCAUUUCUGUGGUGGACUUCUGAAAAGGUCAUCAGUUGAAACUCGUGUUUAUAAGACAGACUUCAAGUAUCAAGUUAAUAAAGAAAUCAACAAUAUUGUUAUGUUUUUUGAGUUUUU